GGAAUUUAUGGUAGUUUAUUUUUCAAUAGAUGGAAGAUAUUAAGGAAGAGAGAAAGAGAAGAAAAGGGGAGAGAGAGAGAGCUCCAGCUUCUUCUGAGCCAGGGCCAUGAAGAUUCAGACUGGAAUGGAAUGUUUGGACAAUCACAAAACAAUGAAUAAUGUCACCUAUUUCAAAGAGUUGAUAUGAAGAUCAAAUAAGUUACUAUUUAGCAAAGUGGAAAAUACAACUAGGACUGAGAAGCAGGGAAGAAACUGCUAUUUAAAUGAUGUAAUGAGUGGAGACAUUGGAGGGAAUUAACAACUCAGAAGUCUAUCCCUUGCUUAUCUGGACAGUCCAAUCAAAGACUCCCCUUAGCCUGGCCUUUUUUGAAAGAAAACUCCAGAAACUUGAACUUUCCAGUAUUUUAAAGGACAGACAAAGGCAACACAGAAUUGUUGUAAAUGUGACUGGUAUAGUGAAAUAAUCCAGCUUCCUUCAUGUCCAUCACAAGGAAUAAAAUAUAUUUCCUAUACA
rnacentral:lncRNA from 1 species